rnacentral:rRNA from 1 species
GGUGUGGAUUAGGCAUGCAAGUCGAACGCGAAAGCCUUCGGGCGAGUAAAGUGGCGAACGGGUGAGUAACACGUAAUCAACCUACCUCCGAGAUCGGAAUAACCACUGGAAACGGUGGGUAAUGCCGAAUGGUCCCUAGGUCUGGCAUCAGACUCUGGGUAAACGGUGGCUUCGGCUGCUGCUCGGUGAGGGGAUUGCGGCCUAUCAGCUUGUUGGUGGGGUAACGGCCUACCAAGGCGAUGACGGGUAGCCGGUCUGAGAGGACGAUCGGUCACACUGGGACUGAGACACUGCCCAGACUCCUACGGGAGGCUGCAGUCGAGAAUCUUCCGCAAUGGGCGAAAGCCUGACGGAGCGACACCGCGUGCAGGAUGAAGGCCUUCGGGUCGUAAACUGCUGUCACGCUAUAGGAAACGUCUGUCGUUAAUAGCGGCAGGUCUGACCAAAGCGAGAGGAAGCACCGGCUAACUCCGUGCCAGCAGCCGCGGUAAGACGGAGGGUGCGAACGUUGUUCGGAAUCACUGGGCAUAAAGAGCACGUAGGCGGNCCGGUCAGUCUGUUGUGAAAGCCCCCGGCUCAACCGGGGA